AUUGAACGCUGGCGGCAGGCCUAACACAUGCAAGUCGAGCGGCAGCGGGAAAGUAGCUUGCUACUUUUGCCGGCGAGCGGCGGACGGGUGAGUAAUGCCUGGGAAAUUGCCCAGUCGAGGGGGAUAACAGUUGGAAACGACUGCUAAUACCGCAUACGCCCUACGGGGGAAAGCAGGGGACCUUCGGGCCUUGCGCGAUUGGAUAGGCCGAGGUGGGAUUAGCUAGUUGGGGAGGUAAUGGCUCACCAAGGCGACGAUCCCUAGCUGGUCUGAGAGGAUGAUCAGCCACACUGGAACUGAGACACGGUCCAGACUCCUACGGGAGGCAGCAGUGGGGAAUAUUGCACAAUGGGGGAAACCCUGAUGCAGCCAUGCCGCGUGUGUGAAGAAGGCCUUCGGGUUGUAAAGCACUUUCAGCGAGGAGGAAAGGUUGAUGCCUAAUACGUAUCAACUGUGACGUUACUCGCAGAAGAAGCACCGGCUAACUCCGUGCCAGCCGCCGCGGUAACAC
rnacentral:rRNA from 1 species